GCUUUUAGCUCAUUUCGUAGAGUGCUUGCCUCACAUGCACAGAGUCCUGGGUUCAAUUCCCAGCACCA
rnacentral:tRNA from 1 species